GUAACAAGCCCUGUGUCGAGAGUAUAUGUAUUAGCAUAUUCAUAGUAUUAGAAAGGGUUAACGAAACUGGAUACGAAAAGUUGAUACCAACUUUUCCUGAAUAUUGAGAGAUGGAGAACAACGUCCUUACAGAAAAUCUUAAUUGUGUAUUCAAUGAGAAAGUCACACUCAGUCGGAAAAUUCUCGGAGUUGAGAAAAAGUUAGUUAAUGACCUAUGUGACGUCCUAAGAAAAAGUGUGACGUCAAACUUUACGUCAUAGACAGACAUGACUUUGAUUUCCAGUUUCGAUACAAUAUUCGAAAAAGAUUUAGAAGAAACGUUUU